rnacentral:lncRNA from 1 species
GUAUGUGAGUUGUUGAUUUUAGCAUAAAAAGGUAUUUUGAAUGCAAUAGUGAAGUUAGAUUUAUCAAAAGAUGCCUUCUUGACUACUUAUAAGAGCUAUCAGCUUUGGUAAUGAAGUUGGCUCUUGAAUGAAUGAAGGCCAUAGAUCUACAUUAGGAAUCUUAGAGAUCAAGGGUGGAGAUGUGGCCGCCCUUCUUCAACCCACUA